rfam:Endosymbiont of Loripes lucinalis isolate G_E NODE_2_length_1203156_cov_62.8627_ID_3, whole genome shotgun sequence.
GGAGUUGGCCAGACAGUCGCUGAUUACCGCUUGCGGUAGACAGAGGAAAGUCCGGGCUCCGGCGGGCAGGGUGCCAGGUAACGCCUGGGAGGCGAAAGCCUACGGAGAGUGCCACAGAAAAUAUACCGCCAGCGGCUCUGCUGCUGGUAAGGGUGAAAUGGUGCGGUAAGAGCGCACCGCAUCCCUGGCAACAGGGGUGGCAGGGUAAACCCCACCCGGAGCAAGACCAAAUAGAGGAACAGGCCGGUCUCUGACUGAGCCAAGUGCGCCCCCACUGUUCCUGGGUAGGUUGCUUGAGGUGUGUGGUGACGCACAUCCCAGAUGAAUGGCUGUCCUUGACAGAACCCGGCUUAUCGGCCGACUCCCUCC